ensembl:snoRNA Gm25683 small nucleolar RNA SNORA71
CCCUGUAUUCGAAAGUGAUUGUGAGCUGCAGGUGCCCUGGUCAUUGAUAUGGCAGGGAGAGGAUUCGGAAAGCCUUUCCCCGUGUUUGGAGGAUCCACACUCGUCCUUGCCAAACCCUGGUGCUUUCCCACA